rnacentral:rRNA from 1 species
AAUUGCUAGUAAUGGCAGGUCAGAAUACUGCCGUGAAUACGUUCCCGGGCCUUGUACACACCGCCCGUCACACCAUGAGAGUUGGGAAUACCCGAAGCCUGUGAGGCUAACCGCAAGGGAGCAGCAGUCGAAGGUAGAAUCAAUGAUUGGGGUGAAGUCGUAACAAGGUACC